GGUUUAUGGCUCAGCAGUAGAGCGCUUGCCUGGCACAUGUAAGGCCCUGGGUUCAAUCCCCAGCACCA
rnacentral:tRNA from 1 species